rnacentral:rRNA from 1 species
GACGAACGCUGGCGGCGUGCCUAAUACAUGCAAGUUGAGCGCUGAAGGUUGGUACUUGUACCAACUGGAUGAGCAGCGAACGGGUGAGUAACGCGUGGGGAAUCUGCCUUUGAGCGGGGGACAACAUUUGGAAACGAAUGCUAAUACCGCAUAAAAACUUUAAACACAAGUUUUAAGUUUGAAAGAUGCAAUUGCAUCACUCAAAGAUGAUCCCGCGUUGUAUUAGCUAGUUGGUGAGGUAAAGGCUCACCAAGGCGAGGAUACAUAGCCGACCUGAGAGGGUGAUCGGCCACAUUGGGACUGAGACACGGCCCAAACGCCUACGGGAGGCAGCAGUAGGGAAUCUUCGGCAAUGGACGAAAGUCUGACCGAGCAACGCCGCGUGAGUGAAGAAGGUUUUCGGAUCGUAAAACUCUGUUGGUAGAGAAGAACGUUGGUGAGAGUGGAAAGCUCAUCAAGUGACGGUAACUACCCAGAAAGGGACGGCUAACUACGUG